rnacentral:rRNA from 1 species
AACGAACGCUGGCGGCAUGCCUAACACAUGCAAGUCGAACGAGACCUUCGGGUCUAGUGGCGCACGGGUGCGUAACGCGUGGGAACCUGCCCUUAGGUUCGGAAUAACUCCCCGAAAGGGGUGCUAAUACCGGAUAAUGUCUUCGGACCAAAGAUUUAUCGCCUUUGGAUGGGCCCGCGUUGGAUUAGCUAGUUGGUAGGGUAAAAGCCUACCAAGGCGACGAUCCAUAGCUGGUCUGAGAGGAUGAUCAGCCACACUGGGACUGAGACACGGCCCAGACUCCUACGGGAGGCAGCAGUGGGGAAUAUUGGACAAUGGGCGAAAGCCUGAUCCAGCAAUGCCGCGUGAGUGAUGAAGGCCUUAGGGUUGUAAAGCUCUUUUACCCGGGAUGAUAAUGACAGUACCGGGAGAAUAAGCUCCGGCUAACUGCGUG